GACAGAGGGUGCAAACGUUGCUCGGAAUCAUUGGGCGUAAAGCGCACGUAGGCGGCCUUGCAAGUCGGAUGUGAAAUCCCACGGCUCAACCGUGGACGUGCAUCCGAAACUGCUCGGCUCGAGUAUGGAAGAGGGUCGCGGAAUUCCCGGUGUAGAGGUGAAAUUCGUAGAUAUCGGGAGGAACACCAGUGGCGAAGGCGGCGACCUGGGCCAAUACUGACGCUGAGGUGCGAAAGCGUGGGGAGCAAACAGG
rnacentral:rRNA from 1 species